rnacentral:rRNA from 1 species
GACGAACGCUGGCGGCGUGCUUAACACAUGCAAGUCGAACGGAAAGGCCUGCUUUCCCUUGUGGAUUGCGGGUACUCGAGUGGCGAACGGGUGAGUAACACGUGAGUGAUCUGCCCCCAACUUGGGUAUAAGCCUGGGAAACUGGGUCUAAUUCCCGAUAGGACUGCAGGGUGGUGCCUGUGGUGGAAAACGAUUUUCUAGUGGUUGGGGAUGAGCUCGCGGCCUAUCAGCUUGUUGGUGGGGUAAUGGCCUACCAAGGCGGCGACGGGUAGCCGGCCUGGGAGGGUUGACGGCCACAUUGGGACUGAGAUACGGCCCAGACUCCUACGGGAGGCAGCAGUGGGGAAUAUUGCACAAUGGGCGGAAGCCUGAUGCAGCGACGCCGCGUGGGGGAUGACGGCCUUCGGGUUGUAAACUCCUUUCGACCGCGAGGAAGCCACCUGGUUGGAAGGGUGGUGACGGUAGUGGUAGAAGAAGCACCGGCUAACUACGUG